AGAGUUUGAUCCUGGCUCAGAUUGAACGCUGGCGGCAUGCCUUACACAUGCAAGUCGAACGGGCUUUGGGGCUUGCUCCAAAGUUAGUGGCGAACGGGUGAGUAAUAUAUCGGAACGUACCCUUGAGUGGGGGAUAACAUAGCGAGAGUUAUGCUAAUACCGCAUACGAUCUAAGGAUGAAAGUGGGGGACCGCAAGGCCUCACGCUCCUGGAGCGGCCGAUAUCUGAUUAGCUAGUUGGUGAGGUAAAGGCUCACCAAGGCUUCGAUCAGUAGCUGGUCUGAGAGGACGAUCAGCCACACUGGGACUGAGACACGGCCCAGACUCCUACGGGAG
rnacentral:rRNA from 1 species